rnacentral:rRNA from 1 species
UACGUAGGGGGCAAGCGUUGUCCGGAUUUAUUGGGCGUAAAGAGCGUGUAGGCGGCCAUUCAGGUCAGCUGUGAAAACUCGAGGCUCAACCUCGAGACGUCGGUUGAAACCGUUUGGCUAGAGUCCGGAAGAGGAGAGUGGAAUUCCCGGUGUAGCGGUGAAAUGCGCAGAGAUCGGGAGGAACACCCGUAGCGAAGGCGGCACUCUGGGCCGGUACUGACGCUGAGGAGCGAAAGCGUGGGGAGCAAACAGG